UACGGGGGGAGCAAGCGUUGUUCGGAUUUACUGGGCGUAAAGGGCGCGUAGGCGGCGUGACAAGUCACUUGUGAAAUCUCCGGGCUUAACUCGGAGCGGCCAAGUGAUACUGUCGUGCUAGAGUGCGGAAGGGGCUACUGGAAUUCUCGGUGUAGCGGUGAAAUGCGUAGAUAUCUGGAGGAAUACCGGUGGCGAAGGCGGCAUCCUGGACCAUAACUGACGCUGAGGCGCGAAAGCUAGGGGAGCAAACGGG
rnacentral:rRNA from 1 species